UCACCAAAUCGUCUGUAGGAUGGACAAAUAGGGAAUAUGCUGCCCCUCCUAUCUGGGCACAGGAACCUGGAAUUACCAAACAGGAUGCGGAAAUGCAAGUAAUGUGGGGAAAAACAAAUGAGACGAGGACCGGUGAUGUACCAGCAAAACAGCUCGCCAGCCAGAGUGAUGACAGACUAGGAAAAAACAAAAAUCACAAGACCAUCAGGGGGCGCUAUAAGACAAUUCGGUCUUCUGGAGCAGCUGGUCGUCGGUAAAGUCACAAAACGGUGCAGAAUGCAGGAGAAGAGAUGUAGAGAGAUCAAACAUAGCAAGCAACAAAAACAAGAAAGCCCUGUUCUGUUUCAGUAUAACAGCGAUGGAUAAGCGACUUAUACACAUGAAUAGGCGUCUCUCUUCACACAGAUGUCAAGACCUGGAAACCACAGCCAUGAACUUAGGACAAUACACUUGAUAAAUGAUCUAGAGCUUAUAUUUGUUCUUAAAUACAAGAAAACAUAGAUACAGACACCUAGAAGCACUAU